AGUUUCAGAAGUUCGUGGGUCAUUUAACUGUAAACGCCUAAAUUUUAAGAGAGCCCUUACUCUUAUACAGUGAAUUUGGAGGACUGGCUUAGGACAAGGCCCUCUAUGUUCAGAAUGUUUAUCACUUUUCUCUCUUUUUUUUUUUUUUUUUUGACAACGAAGUUUCGCUCUUGUUGCCCAUGCUGGAGUGCAGGGGCGCGAUCUGCCCGUCUAAUUUUUGUAUUUUUAGUAGAGAUGGGGUUUCACCAUGUUGGCCAGGCUCUCAAACCCCUGACCUAGUGAUCCUCCCGCCUCUGCCGCCCAAAUUCCUGGGAUUGCAGUAGUGAGCCACCGCGCCCGGCCUAUUUUUUUCAGUCUUAUCUUCUCUACCUCACCACCUCACAGUAAAGCAUAUACAUAAGAUAUUUUGCCUGCUAUGAAGCCAUUGGAGAAUCAGGUCCAGCUGUGUCCUACAGAUUUAUACCCUCACUUUGGAUGCACUGUGAAUCUUGAAACAAAAUUGGUUCCUUCCGGUGGGUUCCUGGCUGACUUCAAGAAUGAAGCUGCAGACACUUAUGGACUGGGAGGAGGCCCACGAGAAAAACAGGAAGAACAAGAGAAAGGCUGAGGCUCUAGUGGCUGCUUUGCAGACUUGCAGAGUCCAGGAUCCCCCAGGAACUUCCACUGAUUGCUACCUGUUACCAGUGUUAAAGCCAGGGCACUUUAAGAAGAAUUGCCCAAGCCACAAGAAAAAGCCACCUUGACCACUUUUGUGGUGAAGACCACUGGAGAUUGCACUACUGACCACCAAGACAGAGACACAAUAGCGAAUCUAGAAGUGGAAGUGUGAGAGAUACCUGCAGCUGUUAAGAUGUCUGGGAAUAGACACACAAACUCUCUCUCCCAGAUAAGCAACACAAAGCAGCACAGAGCAACAGAGACUGAAAGUCUGCCUACCUGAUCAGGGAAUAAGGUGAGAGUUGAUAAAGACUCUGCUCUAUACAGAAAGCAUACCUGGUUCCAACUAAAUCAUCAGGUUUUAUGAGGAUAAGACAUCCUCUCCUCACUAGUGCCCUCCUCAUUAGCCCAUUUACAAAAACCCUGAGAUUUUAGCACAGCUUGGCAACCUACUCAGGGCUCCUCUCUAUGCUGAAGAGCUGUUCUUUUUGUCUAUUAAACUCCUGCUCUAAACUCAUUCUAUGGGUGUGUGUAUCCACAGCCUUGAUCCACUUGGCUGUGAGACUAAGAUCCUUGGUAUUUACCACAGACAAUUAGGUUGUUUCAGAAAUUUCCUGUUUAAAAAAAAAAAAGACAUAGAUCUAAAAUUACCAAGUACCAGAGAAGAUAGAAAAUCAUGUGUUUUUGGAUUGUUUUGUUUCUGUUUGUUUUCUCAUUGUGCUUAAAAUGUCUGAGUUUGACUUUGUAUGCAUAUAAUACUUUUACUAGGGGAAUUACUGUAAAAUAUUUGUAUAUGGAUGGCUCUUAACCCUAUAUCAUUGGCACAUGUAAGAGCAUGGAAGAAUAAGACUCAAACAAGAAAGGAUUGACCAUUUAAUGGCAUGGUAAGUACACUGCCACAUCCAGCUUGAGAGACAACUCACAUAGACACAAAAACAAAAACUAGUCAACAUUAUGUUUCUGCUCCUCUAGACUUCAGAACUGUAAGAUAGUUACCCAUUUUAAAGUCACUUAUUAGGCAAUAAACGAGAGAAGAAAAGCAGAAAA
ensembl:lncRNA TTTY10 testis expressed transcript, Y-linked 10